UCAAUAAUAAAUUUAUAUAAACACCUCGUUAAAAAAGUAAUGUUAGGUCCAUGGGUCCAUCUACGUACUUAAGUAGGGCUACAGCAGACUAAUGAAAGGGCUGAGUAAUGAGAGGUCCUAACUUGUGGAGAUAUUCAAACUCGUCAAAAUCAUCAUCAUCAUCAAGGAUUGAGCUCAUUCAUCACAAUAUUCGUGAUCACCAUUAUCAUACAACUUUACCGUGAUCAGCAUCAGAAACCAUUUUCUUCACGCAUCUCAUUCGGCGAAUUUAGUAAGAAGUUCUGCACGUCACAACAAAAAUCAAAUUGGAUUUGAACCUGGUCCCUGAGAUGUAGAGGCAAGGCACCUACCAGUUCUACCAGUACCGGUACCUUACAAACCAGUACCAAUCCUACCAGUACCAGUUCUUUCCCACCCAGUACCAGUCAUAUCAAUCUUUACCUACAGUCCAUCAGGUGAUGGAACAAACCAACGGACGUUACAUCAACACCUGCUUAUAGCGAGUCCACAAACAGUUGCCUUUCAUUAGAGAGGAUUGCAGAUAAGAUAACAAAUCUCUGUUUGUUAUCAUUCACUUGCUGAUCAAACAGUUGCAUAGAAUGACCAGCUAGAAACUUGAUACUUUGUGAUAGAAGUGAAGUCUGUGAUGCUCUACCCAAUAUGAGGUGUAGGGACUGACCCUCAUUUUUACAGGAACCCAGGAACUUGAGGAUGUGUAGGGAGCAACCUUGAUUGUCGUCAGAGUACAUUACUAUUGUGCGCGCCUUUAAUCAGUGUUGACUUCACAAAGAUGUUAUAGUUAUCCAUGAGCUUUAUAAACUUUUCAAGCCAUUCAGUUGACUUCUAAAGGAUAGAGGCGGUUUUGUGUAAUAUUUGAACAGUCUAUAGUGGAGCUCUGUUUGAAUACAAUAAGAGGUUUGGAUAGUAUCGAAGAGGAAGUUUUUCAAAUCAAAAUUACACAAUGCGAUAGACGGCGAAAACAAAGAUGAUAUGGGUUUUUAAACCGUUGGUAGUUACUCAACCAGAUGAUAGACAAUAGACGGGUACAAGUUGCGUGCGAGAAACGUAUUAAACACACCUGUAGUUAAAGAGGGAUUUGAAGAGAAUGCCUGGAGGAUAAAUGUCGAACAAUAGAUAUCGGCCUAAGUUGGCUCUUAUGCUAUUGUUUCUGGGCGCUCUGCCACAACAUGUUUUUCAGCAUUCUUGUUCCGUUGAACCUUCUAAAAAGAAACUUUUAGUUUAGUAGAAGAAAGAGAAGAAUGCCUGUAUUAAUGGAGUCGGGGUGGUAUGACAUUGAUGGCGAUUAGAUUGAAAAGGAACUAAUAAUAAGUGAUUUAGUCAAUAGAAUUCAAUAAUACCAUAAAUCAACGUGAGAACAUAUUCGCUGAAUUUUAUUUUGCUCUUACAUUUUGGGGGCUUUUUAAUUUAUUGUUGUUGUUCUUUUUUUGAACGGAGUUGUCACGAUAUAUUUUGUAGUCGGAAAUAAAUACUCAACAACGAAAUUUAAGCAGUUAUAAGCAAGAAUGAUAUUGAAGUAUUAUUAUUAUUAUUGAUAUUAUUAUUAUAAUAAUAUAAUAGUAUUACCAAUACUAUUGUUAUAGUAUAAUAUCAUAAUAAUAAUUAUUAUAAUCAUUAUUAACAUUGUCUUUAUUUAAUACUGUUACUAUUGCUAUGUCAGUACUAUUUACUAUGAUGAUUAUUACUAUUAUGCAAGUCUGAUGAUGAUUAUUAUUAUUAUUAUUAUCAUUAUUAUUAUUAUUAAUAUAUAUAAUUAAACUCAACUCAGUGUUAGCUGACAACCAUGAGGUCUCACUGGAAAUAGUCUUUGGACUUUUGUGGUGGUUUACCUUGGUGUAUUUCAUGCUAAAGAACUCCGAAUACAAUCCAAAAAUGUGAUCAGAUUUAAUUUGAUCAGAUUUUAUCUGAUCUAGUUUUGUUUGAUUUUUUAUUCAGUAAAGUACUUUUUUACCUAUUAUUGACUUUUUGUUAUAAUUUGUCCAUGUGUUAAGUGGGUUUAAAAUACUAAAAAUAAUCAAUAAGAUUUUCAAUGAAAUAGGCAAUUAGUUCUGCAUUCUCAUUUUUCGCACCCAUUCCUCCUCCCCCACCAGCCGAAAAACCAGCCUAUGCCCCUGUUGUUAAUGUUUUAUAUUAUUUUAAAUAAAAAAUAAUCUGACUAAAA
rnacentral:lncRNA from 1 species